rnacentral:lncRNA from 1 species
UUUUUUUUUUUUUUUUUUAAGAUUUAUUAAUUUAUUCAUGAGAGAGAGACAGAGAGAGAGAGAGGCAGAGACAUAGGCAGAGGCAGAAGCAGGCUCCACGCAGGGAGCCCAAUGCGGGACUUGAUCCCAGAUCCCAGGAUCAUGACCUGAGCCGAAGGCAGACACUCAACCACUGAGCCACCCAGGUGUCCCAUGGCAACCCCCUUUCAAUGGGUAUUUGUCAGCUCCCAUGUACCAAAUUAUUCUUUCUUUGCCCGGGGUCAACUGACUCUCAUGCAUCUUACUUCCCUGCCUCCUACUACAGCCACCCCCCUACUUACACAGAACAGGCUCUGGUCAUUCCUGUCCUAAAAGACAUUUCCUAAACUACCCCAAUUCAAGCUACACCCUCCCCUUUUCUCCUCCCCACAAUACUUCCUUCAAGAAAUGGUCCACAGUCGCUGUCCCCACUUAUGACCAGGCACUCACCCCCUUGUAAUGUGAGUUCUGCUGUUACCUCUCUGCUGAAAUUGCAGAAAGCAGAGAAAGAGGAAGAAAUCUUUUCAUAUUCCUGCUUGCUCAACAGGACUGGACAUCAGUACCUGUUAUUUUUAUAAGGUUUCCUCCCUUGGCUUUCUGGACUUUGCCUACUUCCAAUUCUCCCACUAUGGAAAUCACACAGACCUUCCCACACUUAGAGACCUAAGAAACACCUGUGAAUGACACACAGGCCCCAGUCAGCAUCCGCUUUCCCUGUAAUACUGCCACCAGCCAACCCAGGUCUCAGACUUUCUCUGAGGGAGAAAAACAACAGAAAAAAGACUCAAGUCUAAAACCUGACCAAGUUUUACACCUGUGAAGAUAAGCACACUGAUUUCCUCAACACUUACUGAUCACUUCUCAGCUAGUAGGGACUCAAGGUGCUUAAGAGACCAGUGAAACAAGCCCCGGACCUUCGACUAAGAAAUUCUGUCUAGAAGAGUCACGGAUCAACCUGAUAAAGGAUAUGAUAAAGGGGAAGGCCAGGGAGUGCCAGAGCAGCUUGCUGAGAGAAACACAAGAGGUACCCUCAGCCUCAGACAGAUCCACCGUCACCAUUUUAGUCCAGGUUCCCUGCAAUUCUCCCAACUGGUCUCCAUGUCUCCCUUUUAGACAUCCUACCCUCUUCCCAAAUCCAUUCUGCACAUUGCAGCAGGAGUGGUCUGCUUAAAAUUCCAAACAACGCUCUCUCCUGCUCAAAACCUUUCAACAGCACUGAGAAUACAGUCCUGCAUCAUCUGCCUCCCGCCGAUUUUUCUCCCUUCGGUUCACCCCAUUUUCCCUUGCACCAGUGGCCCUUCAACCACACUGAUCUUACAGUUCCUUAAACAGAAUGAGUUCUUUUCCACUACAAGGUCUCUGCACAUACCAUUCCUUUUACCUGGAAUCCUCCUGCUACCACUCUCUGUACUAAAAACAUUUUGAACUCUGGUUCUCAGCUGAAAUGUCAUUUCUUCUAUUUACUUGUUUCUAUUUCUGUCUGCCCCAUUAGAGUGUAUGGCCAAAACAAAACCAUGUCUGUGUUAGUCACUUUGUAUUCACAGUAUCUGGCAUGCAGCGCUCAAUAAAUAUUUGCCCAAUGAGGAAGUAAAGACUCUUUCCUGCUCGAGUCCUAACUGGAAGCAUCCCCUUAGGUUCACUUCCUCUCCCACUCCAUUUUCACCAGGCCAAGGCUGAUCAUGCUCUUCUAUGCCUCCACACCUGACCUCUCCUCCCAAGAUGAAGUUCUACAACUAUGAUGCCUGCAGAAAACCCCACCUGGAGUCCCUGAUACCUGCAACUGGACAUGUCUCACAACACACUCAUUAACUAUCCUCAAACGCCUGUUCAUUAUUCCAUUGCUGUUAAUGGCAUGCUCUUACAGGUGGAGUGACUUACUUCUCUCUUUCCUUAACCCACAGACAAGAACUGCUUCCAUCUCUAAAAAUACACCUGCAUGUUCUUACCUAGUCAAUUGACCUACUGCAUUAGCCUCAUUUCCCACCUCUAAUCUUUUAAAAUAUGUGUACAUCAAAGCUUAAUUCUGAUACUGACCAAUACUCCCACUGAAAUCCUUCAAUAGCUCCCUACUGCCUUCCAAAUAAUGUCCACACUACUCAAACAUGAUAGUCUAGUUUGGUGGUUAGGACCAAAAAUUCUGGAGCCACACUGCCAUGUAAAUGAAUAGGAACAAUGAAAGAUGCAGAUCCCAGAUACACCACUUAAUUUCCAUGCUACAGUUGUUCAUCUGUACAAUGGGGUAAUGAUACAAGUAUUUACCUCCAAGGGUUGCUGUAAAGAAUUAAGCGUCUAAUACAGACAGAACUCUUAGGAUAACACUUGGCACAGGUCAGUGCUAUACACAUUGUAUUUUACUGCCCCAUCCCCAAUUAGCAAUAGCCUAUAUCCCAGUCUACCUGAACCAAAUCACUCUUCCCCUAAUGCUUUUCAAACUUUCCCUUCGGAGCAAUGAGCCUCCACCACCAGCUGAUAAGCACCAGCUUGUUAAUAAGCUGCCAGUAUUACAUCCCCCUCUUCAAGGGCAUUUCCAGGCAAAAGCUUCCAUCACAAAGCUCUUUUCUCUCCAGGAGUGUCCUUAUAGCUCAUGCACUGAAAUUCCCCAGAGGUUGCUCAUCAAAGGAUUUCCAGCCCUGUUCAAAGACAGUUAGUCUACAAUUAGCCAUCCUCUUCUUCCCUCUACUUUCUCAAUCUCCUCCCAAGUUUCAGAUCAAAGACCAUCCUAAUACCAUUUUCCAUGCCCAACGGCAAAGGUGUCUUAACUCUCUUAUGUCCCUAAUUUGAGUAAAAGUUGAAACUCUUGACUACUCUCUCUACAAUGGUUCUAUUAGAUCAGAUAGUGUUUCCUUUGCACGGAAACACUUAAAAUAAUUAAAAUUAAGUUCUGUGGGGGCGCCUGGGUGGCUCAAUCGGUUAAACAUCUGUAUCUCGGUUUCAGUUCGGGUCAUGAUCACACGGGAGUUGGGCUGAGCUCAGUAUGGAGUUUGCUUGUCUGUCUCUCUCUCCCUCUGUCCCUCCCAGUGCCAGCUUUCACUUGAAUAAAUAACUCUUUUUAAAAAAUAAGAUUAAGGUUUAUAGUCUUUUUUUUUUUUUUAAGAUUUUAUUCAUUCAUGAGAAGAGAGAGAGAGAGAGACAGAAACACAUGCUCCAUGAGAAGCAGGCUCCAUGCAGGGAGCCCAACGUGGGACUCGAUCCCAGGUCUCCAAGUUCACACCCUGGGCUGAACGCAGGCGCCAACCGCUGAGCCACCCAGGGAUCUCCUAUAGUCUUAUUAAGAGCAGAAUAUGUAUGGACUUCACAAUCUCUGAAGCAGCUAGCCCUUACCACCAUGACAGUGCUGCCCUCUUACCCUCUAAAGUCUCUGCUAUGCACAGGAACUUGGAAAUAAUAAAAUGUACAUAUAUAUAUUUUUAAAGAUUUUAUCUAUUCAUGAGAGAUACAGAGAGAAAGAGAGACAGAGACACAGGCAAAGGGAGAAGCAGGUUCCAUGCAGGGAGCCCGAUGUGGGACUUGAUCCCGGAACUCCAGGAUCAGGCCCUGGGCCAAAGGCAGGCACUAAACCGCUGAGCCACCCAGUGAUCCCCAUAAAACGUAUAUUAAUAACCCGCUUAUUCCUAGGGAUGGAAAAAUGAGAGUUACAACACUACCAAAAAUUUUAACCUUAAGUAAAACAAAUUAUAAAAUCUAAUGUGUAGUUUUCAAAGAAAAACCCAGUAACUUAACAUAUGGCUCUCCAAAACAAUGUAAAUUCUACUCCUUUUAAUAACUGAACUGAUACUUCAAAUAAACAUUUUUUUUUUAAUGAGAAGGAAGUCAUAAGUACCAAAGACACAAAAAUACAGCAAAAAUCAUGACAUCUUAACCCAAGGAACAGUCUUUAAAUCACCUCCUGGCUCCCCAGAAAGCUUUACCUAGGGCCCCUUACUGUCUGUCCUGCAGCUGAGAUUGUCAACAACAACAAAAAAACAUACUGAAACUUAGACAUCUUUACAAAACCAAAAACAAACACUUGUUCUC